rnacentral:rRNA from 1 species
AACGCGAAGAACCUUACCUGGGUUUGAACUUCAGUGGCAAGGCUCAGAGAUGAGUCCCUCCCUUCGGGGAUCGCUGGAGAGGUGCUGCAUGGCUGUCGUCAGCUCGUGUCGUGAGAUGUUGGGUUAAGUCCCGCAACGAGCGCAACCCUUGUCCAUAGUUACUAACGGGUCAUGCCGAGAACUCUAUGGAGACUGCCGGUGAUAAACCGGAGGAAGGUGGGGAUGACGUCAAGUCCUCAUGGCCUUUAUGUCCAGGGCUACACACGUGCUACAAUGGACGGCACAAAGAGUUGCAAAACCGCGAGGUUGAGCUAAUCUCAAAAAACCGUUCUCAGUUCGGAUUGCAGUCUGCAACUCGACUGCAUGAAGCUGGAAUCGCUAGUAAUCGCGGAUCAGCACGCCGCGGUGAAUACGUUCCCGGGCCUUGUACACACCGACGCGUA